GGGACUGGGUUCCUUCUCACUUCCGCAAUCGAGAUGUGAGAUCGAUGAACAAAUCCUCGCUGCAGGGAAUAGUCACACCGCCCAUUGGAUGGUCGAAGCCAAAUUCUUCCUCAGAUUGACUAAGCAAGUUUUGAAAUAAAGGUUCGCUCAAGAAUGAUAUGGGGAUCACAAAUCUCUUUUUCUGCAUCUCCCCAACAUACACAGCAAAAUGACCCUUGGGAAUAUCUCUAGUUGCAGAAGACUUCUUGAUCAUACGAAGAAUAGCCAUGAUCUCUUAGUUUUAGUAUAGAUGAGAAAAAAAGAAGGAUUGUAAGGUUACUCAAAAGCAGAGAAAGCUUUGAUGUUUGCUGAGUGUUGUGGUGGUCGAUACCUCUUUAGUUAUGUUUAUAUAGGAAAUGGCAACUCAUGUUGAUGUGUGUUGAAUAGGAAUGUGUGGGUACCAGCAGAAGACAAUGGCACUGUAGUAUCACAUGCUCUUGCCUUCCAAGUAUUGAAAACUUUGUGGUGUUGGUUAAAGAACAAUAGGCCCUACCUUAUUUUGAAACUUGGAAAGAGCCAUUUGGAUUGGACAUCAGUUAAAGUCUUAAAGACAAUGAUAUAUUAGUAAUCACGUGGUCCUGCCUUCCAGCUAGUUGACAUGAUUAAUUGCUUUAGCAAUAGGUCCUCACAUAUUUUCCUAUAGGGAACAAAGGAUCUCUAAGAAUCAAAUCCAUAAAUAUUGCUGGUAGCUUAUGAGGAUAUCUAGGAAUUAACCAUACCCCAGAUGCAAACUUUGUGUCCACUUAUAUAAAAAGGAUAAGAGAUAAAAAGUUGGCUUAUUAAAAUUCAGAGCCAGAGGGAGUAUUAUAUAUGCAAAGAACAAUCCAUUGACCAUUGGUUAAAUAGUUGGCUCCCUAAGUACAUAAUCUUGUUUGCUAUCUUUUACAAGUACAUUGGUUUCUUCAUAAACAAAGAUAAAUAAGUUGGGAUCUUCCUCCAUAAAUAGCUUCCCAUCUCUAUAUCCCAAACACAACCAUUUGUACUUUUUUAGUAGCAUUAAGCUCUCAAAUUUCUUCAAGAAAACAUACAAAAAUGGCCCUCAGAAAAUCAAACAAGUUAUCACAAGCUGCAGUUUUGAAGCAAAUUAUGAAUAGGUAUUCAAAUUUGGGUAUGCUGAGAUUUAUAUUUGCUAAUGAGUCCAACCAAAUGAUCCCUAAGAGAAACAAUCAUUCAAGUAAAUGAAUUAUAAGGAAAUUCAUGAGAAACCAAAAAUGGCCGAUAAUGCGAAGGACAAAAUAGACCUGAUCAGUUACAUCAGGUGCUUUGCUCGCCACAAUCGGAAUAAACUUCUUGUCAACAUGUUGGAGAACUUUGGCACCCUCCGGGCAGUUUUUAUCAAUGGUAUCAGGAACCAAUGAAUCGCCAACAAAAUGCAAGACGCCAGAAGUGACAUUGAGUAUAGUAUCUAGAUUCUUAUGAUUCUCUGUUCCAGAACUGCUCUGCAUCUCAUACUGGAAAAGGUAAAAGUUCAUCAUCUUGUCCAUAUAGCUAAGGUACUCAACUGUAAUCUAUGGACGGAAGUCCCUCCAUUUUGUCCCAGAAUCCAAGAAACUUUGAAUAAACAUAAGCAAGAUCCCUACAAAGCUAAUGAAGGCUGUGGAAGCUUACUGUAGGAGCUAUAUAUGGGAUUAAUGUGAUAACCAAGAAGGCCUUGGUGUCCUGGGAGAGAGUUUGUACCCCUAAAUCCAUAGGUGGACUAAAUCUCAUCAAUCUCAACUUAUGAAAUAGAGCGGCAAUUGCAAAAAAUCACUGGGACCUUGCUCACAAGUUGGAUAAGCUACGGAUAAGGUGGAUCCACUCUUAUUAUAUAAAAUAUCAGCAUAUCAAUACUAUGCCUAUUCCACAACAAGCUUCCUGGUUGGUAAGGAAGAUAAUUUAAGCAAGGACUGUGAUAGACCAGAGUCAAAUAGUUCCCAAAGGAACUAGCAGUAUCAUCAGGCAAAUGUAUAUCCAGCUUAUUGGCCAACAACCAAGAAUCGAAUGGAAAUGUUUUAUGUUUAAAAAUGACCCAAGUGGCAAAGCCAUAUUCACUAUGUGGCUGCAGUUUCAGAAUAGAUUACUCACCGGCUAUAAACUGUCGAGUUGGGGAAUGGAUGUGGGAAACACUUGUGUAUUUUGCCAGGGACAUGAUGAAAGUAGAGAUCAUUUGUUUGCUGAAUGUUCCUUCAGGAGAAAUGUAUGGAGCAGGCUAUUGAUGUGGCUACACGGUCGACCACACAAAGCAAUGACGUGGCAGCAACACUUCACUUGGGCAAUGAGGAAUGCAAAAGGUAGACCGUAGAAGCAAGGAUUUUUAGAGUGGUUUAUGCUGAGAUAAUCCAUGGAGUAUGGGGGGGAAGAAACAUGCGCAUAUUUCAGAAAAUAACUAAAAGACCUGAAGAUAUUGCUAGGCACAUAGCUUACACCUGUAAUGUUCGAGCCAAGAUAGAGGCCAAAGCCUUUCUACAAAAUUGUAGGUUCUGAGACAUGAUGAUACAUCAAUGCUAUAGAGAAGAGUGUUCGUAGAUCAUAGGGGGACUAGGUUCCUAGGGAAUAGAGCUAGAAGUUUUUUUUUUAGUUUUUUUUCCUUUCCUGACACAGCAAGCUGAGUUGCAAUGCUGUGGUUUUGUAAAGUUUUACUUGGUGAUUAAUAAAAUAUUAAAUCCCUUAAUUACCAAAAAAAAGAUGUAAUCUGAAAGAGACUGUGUGGCCUAGGAGACUUAGAAAGAGACAUCGUAAUCUAAAAUACUUUCAUGAUUAAUAAGAAUGCAAUCUAAGAUAAUCUUGAAAAGUGGAUGAAAGAAAUGAAGCUAAUUAACUAAAACAUGCACUAGAAAAGUCGGCUCUUAUUCAGGUCAGGAACAAAUGGCAGGAACGGUUUACCUUCUUUUGACUCCCCAUCGCAUGUACUUGUGCAAUCCCCUUGAGUUUGUAAUUUUCUAUUCCAGAUGUUAACAAAUUUCAUUUUAACACUUGGCCUGAAUAGAGAAAUAUCAGGUCGUGUGAAUUACUAAAAUAUUUGAUUGAGAUAAUAUCAGAAAGAGACCCAACCCUCCCAAGAAAUUUGAUAACAUUACCUUUCAUCAGAGAACACACCCUUUACCACAUUUUGGGUGGAAAAUUGAGCACAUUGAUGGGAUGACUGAGUGGAAGCUCCACGCAGAUAGCUUCUGCAGAAUGAUGCAGUCUCCUUACAGCUCUAGAUUCUGCACGAUAGAAAAGAACAUUAAUUAGUUGCACAUAUUUUCUGUCAUAGUUGAUUAUUAACACAAAAAAGCACUCCAGGAGAAAUUACCUGGCAUGAGCACAUCAUAAACAGUUUAAAUGUUGUUAUUUCCUGCUGCCUUUCUUGAAGACUCAGUUGUGGCAAAGAACUUCUUGUCUUGGUAAAAUGGAGGAGCUGAAUGACUUCUUCUACUCUUCUUCUUCCUUAUAAGCUCAUCUGUUUUACCUCGAUUUCCUGCGACAAUCCAUUUAUGUGAGUCCCCAUCCACCCUAGAGGAGAACAUAGCUCGUGGUAGCAACUAAUUUUAAGAUUCUCUUCACCAAGAGAAAGCAUGUGUCAAAUCAUCUCAAUCAUAAUAGAAUUAAGAAGGACCUGAACUAUAAACAUCCCAUGGAUCAAGUCCCCUAUACUGGCCAUACCAGUUUGCCCAAUUACAAGUAAAACCUCAAACCAAAAAAAUGAAAGAACACCCGUAAAAAGAUACUAACAAACACAAACCGUCAAACAACUUAUCAGUUGAGGAAUGCAUGCAACCCUAUAGACUACGACAACCAUUCCAAGUUAUGAACAUAAUCAUUGUCAGUCCAAUAUUUUGCAAAAUGAUUACCAUAUCAUUCUCUCCUCAGCAUCUGUCCAUCUCGUGAGACACCAGAUCCUUCAAAAGAAAGUACCAACUUCAGGUGAUGAAGUAAAAUAAUAAAUUGAGCAGAAUUUUAUACAUAUCAAAAUGCAUUUAGAUCGACGUCAAAGAAACUAAUAGUUACCAUUGUCAUCCACCUUCACAAUUCAGGUCCCAAUGUCUAUAGCAACAGAUACCUGGUGGAAAAUAGAAACUGGGUUAAAGUUCAACUUAAGAGUACACAACUUAUAAGAAUAACGAGCAAAAAAAGAGCAGUCCUACAAGGGAGUAAAUCUCAUGGAGAAAAGAAAGUGUUGUUAUAUAAGAAUAUUCAUUUGGAAAAAAAAAACGCUUUGAUACUAGAAUUGAGCAUCAUACUAAGAGGAGAAAAAGUAUAUCAAUUUUCAUAUAAAGCAUAUGCCCUUGUAAUCAGAGGUAGCAAAAAUAGAAACAUAAGAAUUCAUUGAAGAGCCUCACUGAUCAGUGCCUUUUGUGCAAAUAGUCCAAGCUAUUAAAAUUGCAUUAAAGCACGACUUGCCAUAUUCUCAGCAGCCCACAUCUAUUGAUCCUCUAAACAUUAACAAAAUCAGAAAACAUAAAAUCCCCCAUUCUCUUACAUGACACAAUUUACAACUUAUAAGAAACAAUUGAAAUCAGAAAAUCUAGACCAUGUUCAUUUCAAAGAUGAAAAUAAGUCUAGACCAUGUAAAAGAAAAUGACCACUGAGGGUGUAUACGGAAGUCUGUCCAAUCGGGUGUCUUCAUUCAAAAUACUACAAAUCACUUCUUAUAAUUAAACUACUUAUUUUUUAAGAAUUGUGCCAGUGGGGCCUUCAACAAGAAAAACUCCACAUCUUUCCAUUCAUUGGCUUCAUAAUUCAGUUAUAAUUAAACCAAAAACAACACCACGAGUAUAUUCAUGACUUCAUAAUUCAAUUAUAUAAAAAGGUUCACCUCCAUGUGGCGAUCACUUUCAUCUUUGCCAGUGAAAGAAAGGCCAGCAUCUUCAAAUUGCUGCACCAUAUCAGGAUCCACCUACAUAGCACAGGAUAAGUUUUUAGCAUACAUCCCUUACUAAAGAAAUCACAUUUUAUGGUCUACAUAUAAUUAUUAAACCAGUCCACCUAGAUGUGCAAUAGUUACACCACAGUUCCAAAUUUAAAGAAAAAAAAAGGCGGUGAACCUCAUAUCUAUGACGGUGCCUCUCAUAUGCAAAGCUCCAGUUGCCAAAUCUGAGAAAGAUAUAGUUAAGCCACUUGGUAAUAUCAAUGGGAGAAAUCCUCCAGAAUGGCUUCAGAAACUUAUCAACAAGCAUGCCCAAUGUAUGCAAAAACAAUCUAUUAGGAAUUUCAAGAAAACCAGAGAGAAAAGCCAAAGAACCAUAUCAUUUUAAAAAAUACUUGGUCAGAAAUCAAAAAGUCAAUAAACAAAGUGUAGAAAAGAUGACUUAUCACAUCUCUUUAUCCAUCAAUUUGGGGCUGCAUAGGUUCACUGUUUAAACACCAGGACCUGAGAGUUAUCCUGAAAGUUCGAAUGCACCAACACUUGCAUUCAAUUUAUUAAGGGAACUCAGAUGAAUUCCAAACCCACUAGACAACAGCAGGUCAUCCUCACUGCAUGUAAAUGAACAAAAUCUAAGGAACUAGACAGGAAAUCCUUAAGUUAGGUGGUGUAUUAAAGACGAACCUUUCAAUAUCAACAAUUUUGAAGGAGGCACUGCGAUGCACAAGGGAGAUUCCUAGCAGACUCUUUUGGAGAAUGCAAGACCCUACUUGGACUUCAAGAUUAUAUAUGCACACCAAAAGAUCAAUCAGAUCAGAGUACAGCUUUAGAAGUAAAGUAUGUAAAGCAAUAUUUUUUACUUGUUUGAUUUUGAGAAAACUAGAAGAACUUGGAGUGCAUUUGCUUCCUUCGAACAGGUAAGUUGUAAAAUACAUCACGAACAAUUACUGCAAAAAGAAAAAACCCUAGAAAUUUCCUUAUUAGCCAGCAGCAGUCAACUCAAUUAUCAGGUAGGCUUAUACAAAAUCACCUGUUAUACCAACAUCUUGUCUAUAAUCAUCAAUUCCAAGGUACAAAACACUUGCCAUCCUGUUAACAAUGGCCAGAUAAAACUUCAAAGACCAGGUUAGUAGUUUUAUACCUAUCCUAAUGUCGACUACUUACUAUAACUCAAAAGAGUUUUACCUUCAAAACCUUACAAUAUCUAUUAGGCCUCCCAUGAGAUUUGGUAACAAUUCCAACAAAGAAAUAUCAGAAAUAGAGCUAAGAACCAACUUGUCACCACAAGAUAUUCUUGAAAAACACAUCAAAAUAGCUUCAUCAGAUUAACACAAUCAGUAUCAAUGGUGCCAGCAAAGGGAGUUAAAUGCUGCACAUAAUCUCUGCCAAAUUGAUUGCAUAUCUACCAUGGAACAAAAAUGAACAAGUGACAUGUUUUUCUUUUUUUGUGGCGAUUAGUCAAACCAAUCCUCUCUUAACCUACAUAUGGUACAACAAAGUAGGGGCAGGUGAUGACCAGCACUUUUAACAAAUAGCAUGUCAUUGAAGUCAAUAGUUUCCUAUCCAGUUCAUAGCAGAAUGUCUACAGAAUCAGACAAUGUAAUCAGUUGAAACAAAAAUCAGUAAUCCUAAAAAGUGCUACAGUUCUCAAGUUUGAUCUAGUCCAUGGUCUGCAGUCGAAAACUAAGAGAAACCAGAUGCAGUCCUCUGGUUACAUGUGCUCCCACUUCCUCCACUCAUCAAAGAGAUACAAGAAUUUUGUCACUUCCUCAGAGCCUAUUCUAGCUUUUCCUUAACCCCCUCAUUCUAAUUAAUGAUUUAUAGUAUUUAUUAAAACUGUUGGAGCAUUAGUGUAGGUGUUAAAUGUUCAAAUGAAGUUACUUCCUCUAAGAUCCAAGAUUAAUAUAUUUCUCUUUUUUUAUUACUCCAAAGAAUAGAAAAGAUACUAACUCAGUAACUCUAACCUGAAGGAGGGAAGUUGAUAUCUUUUGACAGAAAGGAUACAUAAAAAAGUAUACUCAUUCAAACUACUACAAAUCAAAGUUAGGCUACAAUUUUCCAUUUUUUAGAAACAAUCAAAAGUCAAAAAGUCUACAAUUGAGUGUCUUCAUUCAAAAUACUACAAAUCACAACUUACUUAUAAUUAAACAAAUUAAUUUUUUUAUAUAGUUGCGCAGUGGGUCCUUCAAGAACAACUCCACGUUCUUUUUUUCAAUUCCAGUUUCUCAGUUAAAAAAAUUCUUGAACAUCCUUAACAUACACUGACAGGAUGAAAACAUAACUUGCUUUUUUUAAAAAAAAAAAUUUGAAAAAAACAACUUGUUGAAAUUUUCUUAAAAGUUCAACAUGCAAAAUCGAUUUCUUGAAUUCCAACAUCCAAAAUCGAGUUCUUUGGAAGAAUAUCAAGAUAAUGAGAAGAGUACCAAUAGAUAGAUCAAUUGAUUUAGGGUUUAGGGUUUUGAUCGGACAUCAUCACUUGAACCAUCAAGAACAUCAACAAGUUCAAUGAACUUUUCUUAAAAAUUAAACGCAUAAUCGAAUUCUUGAAUUUUCCUCCUUUUUAAUGGAAGAAUUCCCAUGAAUCGUGAUAGAUUUUCCGAUAGCCGGUAGCUUAAAAGUUCCGACUCUUUUUCAAUAGGCGGUCGGAGGGGUGAGUUCUUAAAUGCGCACUAGGUACUCUAUUUUAUAGUUAUAGAACCAGUUAAUACACGCGGCUGAAAAAUAGAACGCGGAAAAAUAACUACUUAAUACAAUUAUUUUUUUAUGUUUUUUUAAUAAGAAAAAAUUAUUCAUUGAAUGUGAAAUUUGUUAUUAUCAUCAUAUAAAACUUAUGUAGUGGUUUUGAAUGGUUAUCCCAUAACAAAAUAUUGGACCAAAAAAAGGUCUGUCCUUGUUAACUUUGAAAUUCAAUACGAUUAGUAAUAAAUAAUUUCACCCACAUUAUUUUUGAAUUUUUUUUUUCCUACAGAAUUCUCUCAAAACAAACCCUAACAUAAAUACAUUUCAUAAAAACAAAUCCAAAGACCCACAUUCGUUUCCCAACCCCAAAACAAAUUGAAACAUAAAUCCCAACAAAAUAUCUCACCUUAAAUUUCUCAGAGGUAUUUGAAGGCUUCCAAGUCAAGUCAUAUAACGAUUUUGGAUAAUUUAGGUUCAACAAAAAUAGGGAUAUAUCUGAGAUCUACUUUGCUUCUCAAUGUUAGAAGAACUAUCAAAACACAUAGCUAUGUUGUUAAGUAGUCUAUGUAUUGGAGAGAAAAAUGAGAGACAUACCAAAUAUUAGCCUUAAGUCAAGUCAAGGAGAAUCCAUAAUGUUGAGAGUGUGAAACACGGCUAAUGAUAAUCACAAAAUUUAAAUGUUGAAUAAUACUUCUACUUAACAGUUAUGGUUAUCAUUUCAAAAACAGAAACGAACUCUAAUUAAAAUUAUAUACUUAUAUUAUUUAACUUGUGCAAAAUUUUAAUAGAAAGUUAUAUACUAAAUUAAUAUUUUAUACAUAUUAAAUUAAAUAGAUUUAAAAAAAAAUUAAAUAUAAGAAAAGUUGUAUAUUAGAACUGUAGAAGAAAAGUGUCCACGAGAAGACUUUAGUAUUCAAGAUAACGUAGACUUAGUGCUUCAGAAGCUCCGAUUCCGCUGCUAUAAAGAAAUGAAAUCUCUCAAACAGUUGGCGAUCUGAACAGAUUUCAUUUGCUAAAAAAUGUGGUGUAUGUCUUUUUGACAUCAGCUACAAAAAAAUACAUUCAACAAUUGGGACUAGGACAAAUAGCCCCCUAUUUCUACUUUUCAGUGAUGUGUAUUGAAUAAUGAGUCUCUCCUAACUAGAACUAGAAAGGUUACUUCUUUACAAAAUUGUGAAAGGAAAAGCCUCAGAACUUACUCAAGCGAGAAGUAAGAUUAAUGAACACAUCCUCACUACAAGGAAUUGUGACACCGCUCAUUGGAUGAUCAAAGCCAAAUUCUUCCUCAGCUUGACUAAGCAACUCUUGAAAUAAAGGUUGGCUCAAGAAUGAUCACAAAUCUCUUCUUUUGCUUCUCCCCAACAUAAACAGCAAAAUGGCCUUUCGGAACGUCUCCAGCUGUAGAAGUUAUCUUGAUCAUACGGAUUGCCAUGGUUGUGUUGUUCAAUAUAGAUGAAGAAAUAAGGAUCGGAAGAAUUAGUAAGGAAGAGAAAGGUUUGUGUGAUUUCAAGUUUUGGUGAGAGCUGUUAUGUGGUAUGUGUUUAUAUCAAGUUAUAGAAUUCUACUGAUGUGCAUUGAAUAGACAUUAUGUGGGCACCAGCUAAAGACAGUAGCACCUGAAGUAUAACAUGGUUCUGCCUUCCAACUCCUUGUCAUACUAUUUAUGCAAACUCUCAUGUGUCCACUUAUAUAAAAACUAGAAGAAAAAACAAAUCAAUCAUAUGUAAGAUUUAACUGGUGGAGAGGCAUUUGUUGUACUGCUGAUUGACAAUAGCACAUGGUUUUGCUACUCAACUCAUUGUCAUUGCUCUUGAAUAUCAGCAGUCCCUACACCCUAGUGUUUUUCAGGACAAGAUAGAGAAUAGAAGAUUUUUUUAAAUCAAUUUGAUAACUUUGAGUCAUUGUCAACACAGGUUCUUUUGAGAUAAUAACAGGUAAUUCCCAUUAGUAACAAAAUUUACUGCAAUCUUACCAUUAUGUAGGAUCAACUCCGUAUUCUAUCACAUUUAGUUGCACUCAGUACUGACACUAUACAUCUUGAGUUAUACCUCACCGCCGCUACCAAGUGCAGCUAGCUUCAUUUGAAACCAUUAAGUGUAAUUAUCACUUUUACCAAUUGAAUGAGUUAUGCCAAUUUAGGGGACCAGAUUCUAGUUCAUUCUGAUUAACAAAUGAUGAGAGUUGAGCAAAAAAAUUCUAUUGCAAUGAAUUGAUUACAUCAAUGUAUGGAAGUAAAAAGUUUCAUUACUUCAAUUUCUUUUGAAGUAGAAAAAUGUGUCCCUUAGUCUACCUAGUGUUUCUUCUAACUCUCAACUGUACACAGUGGAGUUCCUGGCUUACUACAACUAUACAAAAUUGUGUAACGAAAAAAUGGGGACUAGUUUCCUUCUCACUUCCUCAAUCGAGAUGUGAGAUCGAUGAACAAAUCCUCACUGCAGGGAAUAGUCACACCACCCAUUGGAUGGUCGAAGCCAAAUUCUUCCUCAGCUUGACUAAGCAAGUCUUGAAAUAAAGGUUCGCUCAAGAAUGAUAUGGGGAUCACAAAUCUCUUUUUCUGCAUCUCCCCAACAUACACAGCAAAAUGGCCCUUGGGAAUAUCUCUGGUUGCGG
rnacentral:lncRNA from 1 species